UAUGUAGGGUGCGAGCGUUAAUCGGAAUUACUGGGCGUAAAGCGUGCGCAGGCGGUUUUGUAAGCCAGCUGUGAAAGUCCUGGGCUUAACCUGGGGACUGCAUUUGAUACUGGGUUGCUUGAAUUCGGGAGAGGAUAGCGGAAUUCCCAGUGUAGAGGUGAAAUUCGUAGAUAUUGGGAAGAACACCGGUGGCGAAGGCGGCUAUCUGGACCGACAUUGACGCUGAGGCGCGAAAGCGUGGGGAGCAAACAGG
rnacentral:rRNA from 1 species